rnacentral:lncRNA from 1 species
CUCCAACUUUUUCUCACCCUUAUCUAACUUAAAGAGGAACCUACCAGAGAAUUUUAGACAUGGAAAACAAUCAAGAACACUUCCUUUUGGUCGCACAUAAUAGGCACCUUCAUAAGGAGCAAACAUGUGGAAGGAUAGGGAUAGGAUUUUAAGUUUAAAUUCAAACCUUUUGAAUUCAAUUUAAAACCAACCAAAUCCUAUCCCUAAUGGAUAAUAAAAGAAGGGUUUUGGCAUGGAUUAUUUAGUGCACAAACUAAUUUGUGGAUGAAAUAAGGGGUGGA